UUUUCAUCAUAUUCAGCAAAUUCACCUCCAGACAAAUCAAUAUCUUCGUAUUUAGUCCCUGCAGCAGACUCAGCUUUCCACCCACUACCAAAUACAAAACCCUCAGGUUCAUAGCCUCUGCAGUCAAACAUCAUCAAUGGGGCAUAUUUCCCUGUAUCACUGAUUUCCUGGGUAAGCAGCUUACCCUUGCCGGGCACCAUCAACACAGUUCCCUCCCUCCCACAAAACUUGCACUUCUGAACAAGAUUAGCGGUUCCCUUGCUUGCUGGAACAGGAACAGUCUCAUUCAAGGUCACACAUGUUUCUUUCUGGCUCAACUCUCCACACCUUCCACAUUUCACCUUGAAGAAGUAAGGGAAAGAAGGAUCGUCGCAACCGCCCUGAGGCUGGAGGCUGGUGAUGUUCUCGAGAUCGGCGGUUAUCAUUAGCAUGUAGUUCACCAUUUCCACUGGUUUUAGCGUCAAAAUCAAGCUUCC
rnacentral:misc_RNA from 1 species